AAAUUGAAGAGUUUGAUCAUGGCUCAGAUUGAACGCUGGCGGCAGGCCUAACACAUGCAAGUCGAACGGUAACAGGAAGCAGCUUGCUGCUUUGCUGACGAGUGGCGGACGGGUGAGUAAUGUCUGGGAAACUGCCUGAUGGAGGGGGAUAACUACUGGAAACGGUGGCUAAUACCGCAUAACGUCGCAAGACCAAAGAGGGGGACCUUCGGGCCUCUUGCCAUCAGAUGUGCCCAGAUGGGAUUAGCUUGUUGGUGAGGUAACGGCUCACCAAGGCGACGAUCCCUAGCUGGUCUGAGAGGAUGACCAGCCACACUGGAACUGAGACACGGUCCAGACUCCUACGGGAGGCAGCAGUGGGGAAUAUUGCACAAUGGGCGCAAGCCUGAUGCAGCCAUGCCGCGUGUAUGAAGAAGGCCUUCGGGUUGUAAAGUACUUUCAGCGGGGAGGAAGGUGUUGUGGUUAAUAACCGCAGCAAUUGACGUUACCCGCAGAAGAAGCACCGGCUAACUCCGUGCCAGCAGCCGCGGUAAUACGGAGGGUGCAAGCGUUAAUCGGAAUUACUGGGCGUAAAGCGCACGCAGGCGGUCUGUCAAGUCGGAUGUGAAAUCCCCGGGCUCAACCUGGGAACUGCAUUCGAAACUGGCAGGCUUGAGUCUUGUAGAGGGGGGUAGAAUUCCAGGUGUAGCGGUGAAAUGCGUAGAGAUCUGGAGGAAUACCGGUGGCGAAGGCGGCCCCCUGGACAAAGACUGACGCUCAGGUGCGAAAGCGUGGGGAGCAAACAGGAUUAGAUACCCUGGUAGUCCACGCCGUAAACGAUGUCUACUUGGAGGUUGUGCCCUUGAGGCGUGGCUUCCGGAGCUAACGCGUUAAGUAGACCGCCUGGGGAGUACGGCCGCAAGGUUAAAACUCAAAUGAAUUGACGGGGGCCCGCACAAGCGGUGGAGCAUGUGGUUUAAUUCGAUGCAACGCGAAGAACCUUACCUGGUCUUGACAUCCACGGAAGUUUUCAGAGAUGAGAAUGUGCCUUCGGGAACCGUGAGACAGGUGCUGCAUGGCUGUCGUCAGCUCGUGUUGUGAAAUGUUGGGUUAAGUCCCGCAACGAGCGCAACCCUUAUCCUUUGUUGCCAGCGGUCCGGCCGGGAACUCAAAGGAGACUGCCAGUGAUAAACUGGAGGAAGGUGGGGAUGACGUCAAGUCAUCAUGGCCCUUACGACCAGGGCUACACACGUGCUACAAUGGCGCAUACAAAGAGAAGCGACCUCGCGAGAGCAAGCGGACCUCAUAAAGUGCGUCGUAGUCCGGAUUGGAGUCUGCAACUCGACUCCAUGAAGUCGGAAUCGCUAGUAAUCGUGGAUCAGAAUGCCACGGUGAAUACGUUCCCGGGCCUUGUACACACCGCCCGUCACACCAUGGGAGUGGGUUGCAAAAGAAGUAGGUAGCUUAACCUUCGGGAGGGCGCUUACCACUUUGUGAUUCAUGACUGGGGUGAAGUCGUAACAAGGUAACCGUAGGGGAACCUGCGGUUGGAUCACCUCCUUA
rnacentral:rRNA from 18 species